rnacentral:tmRNA from 1 species
GGGGACGUUACGGAUUCGACAGGGGUAGGUCGGGUUUAAGCGGCGAGCCGAGGGGGUCGGCCUCGUAAAAACGCCAAAGCCAUAACUGGCAAAGAAAACAACAACCUCGCUUUAGCUGCCUAAUCAGCUUUUAGCGGUCCCUCCCUCCAUCGCCCAUGUGGUAGGGUAAGGGACUCACUCUAGUGGGAUACGCCGGAAGCCUGCAUCCUGAAGGCCAGGGAAGAGAUCAAUCGGGAUAGUCCCGCGAAAGCCUGUCGGCGGGCCGACGCCGGGGCGAAAUGCUAAUAUGUCGACUACGCUCGUAGAAACUUAAAUCACGAUGCUUCUGGACGUGGGUUCGACUCCCACCGUCUCCAUUC